rnacentral:lncRNA from 1 species
UAAUUAUUUAAUAUCUUCUCCAACCUACUUUCCAGGCCUAAUCAGGACGUUGAGAUAGAGGUAUGCUGGAACUUGAGUAGAUGCAGUAUUGGAAAAUUUGAAGGGGUCUUCUGCUGUUGUAGUGGCAGUUGUCAUGGAACUGUAAGGCACAGUUCUGCCCUGCACAGCAUUAAUUCAAGUCCAGGACACAAUAAGGGACUGCUCUUCAUGUGCAUCAGCGUUGGUCAUGCUGGUUGUGCCUUGACAAAAACCGUAACUUGUACUCAUCUCAUGGUACUGACCAGUUACAAUACAAAGGGCACAACACCUCCUCAACAUAGAGAGAUGGUUCCUGCCCCACAUAAUUCUCCUUCUUGCAUAUCAAGGUAACAAAGGCCAUCCUUGGGAGAGGAAUAACUGAAAACAAGGAAAAAAAUACGGAAGACUGGAUGGAUGAGUUCGCUGCACAGAAAUUCUUGGAAGAAAAAUCAGAGACGACCCAUGGCAAGUAUUGAUGAAUUAAGUGUCCGUCAGUGUUUUCCUC